rnacentral:rRNA from 1 species
UACAGAGGGUGCGAGCGUUGUCCGGAAUCACUGGGCGUAAAGGGCGCGUAGGCGGUCGUGACAAGUCACUUGUGAAAUCUCCGGGCUUAACUCGGAACGGUCAAGUGAUACUGUCGGACUAGAGUACAGAAGGGGCAACUGGAAUUCUCGGUGUAGCGGUGAAAUGCGUAGAGAUCAGGAAGAACAUCGGUGGCGAAGGCGCUCUGCUGGACCAUAACUGACACUCAGGGACGAAAGCUAGGGGAGCGAAUGGG